rnacentral:rRNA from 1 species
GACGAACCACACAAACGUUAUUCGGAAUUACUGGGCUUAAAGGGUGCGUAGGCUGUGCGGAAAGUUGGGUGUGAAAUCCCCCGGCUCAACCGGGGAAUUGCGCCCAAAACUACCGUGCUUGAGGAAGACAGAGGUGAGCGGAAUUCCAGGUGUAGCGGUGAAAUGCGUAGAUAUCUGGAGGAACACCGGUGGCGAAGGCGGCGUUCUGGACUGUAACUGACACUGAUGAACGAAAGCCAGGGGAGCAAACGGG